rnacentral:rRNA from 1 species
AAUCAACGCUGGCGGCGUGCCUAACACAUGCAAGUCGAACGAGAAAGUGACUUCGGUCACUGGAUAGUGGCGUCCGGGUGAGUAACACGUAGGUAAUCUACCUUCGGGUGGGGAAUAACUCGCCGAAAGGCGAGCUAAUACCGCAUAAUGCAGCGGCACCUAAUGGUGAUUAGUUGUUAAAGCGGGGGAUCUUCGGACCUCGCGCCUGAAGAGGAGCCUGCGGCAGAUAGCUAGUUGGUGAGGUAAUGGCUCACCAAGGCUUCGAUCUGUAGCUGGUCUGAGAGGACGGCCAGCCACACUGGCACUGACACACGGGCCAGACUCCUACGGGA